GAUCAUGUCCAUUUCUAUCUAUUACAUAAGCAUGACUUCUUCACUCUAUCCGAACUCCCGCACUAUAUCCUGUACCUGUAAGCCUGGGGGAAAAGGGAGAGGGGUGAGCUAAAAGCCCAGUGAGUAGAGCUAGUAAAAACACAUUAACACUAUGCUCAAAUGGAAUGCAUCAUAACACAGACAAUUCACAUAAGGGUUGGGUGAACUUGUCACCAAAUAGUCCAAGUUAACUCUGUGCCAGGCCGUAGCAUGGGGUCCUGGUCUUCCUGUCAUACAUACAUUACUUACCAUUUUCCAG
rnacentral:lncRNA from 1 species